AUGUCGGCCCCACGCCAGCAGGUGUUGGGUUCGCUCACCCGGCGGCACGCAGUGAAGGUGGCGGCCGCGGUGAGUGUGGAGGCGUGCUGCCUGGCCAUAGGGAAUGCCGUGGGGCAUGAGAGCGUGUUGUCGGCCUCUAGGAUGAACAGUGCGGUGGUGGUUUUUCUUGACUCGAUUGAUAAAGCCAAUGAGUUGGUAGAACAGGGGAUAGUUGUUGACAAUGAACUUGUCCCCGUUCUUCCCCUUGCGUUACCAGCCAAGCGAGUCACUUUAUCCAAUGUCCCACCUUUCAUGAGUGAUGACAUUCUGAGUCAAGCGCUGUCGCGGUAUGGCAAAUUAGUGUCCCGAAUAAAGAAGAUCUCUAUCAGUAGCGAUUCGCCUUUGUUAAAACAUGUUGUUUCUUUUAGGCGUUUUGUCUAUAUGAUCGUUAAUGAUGAUACUGAACUUGAUUUGUCACUUAACUUUCGAGUUGAUGAUUACGAUUAUAUUGUGUUUGUUACCACUGCUAAAAUUAAGUGUUUUGGCUGCGGCCAGCUGGGUCAUUUAGUACGAAACUGUCCGGACAAAAAUGUUGAAAAUGAGACACCGAUUGCAGAUGGAAUUUCAGCAAGCAUUGAGGCGGCUGUCGCCACCGGUGUUGCCGAGGCGGUGUUGCCGGAGUCGGGCUCUGUUGUGGCGGCGACAGCGGCGGGUUCUCCCGCUGAGGAUGUGGCUAGGCCAUCCGCUUCGCGGCAUGAGUACUCGCACUCGGAGUCCACCGGUGCGAUUUUAGAAGACGAUACGGUGGUUUCAGAAAGUUUAGAACUGCCUCAGGGAAACACAAUUAAGGACACGGUUUCGGAUAUGAUUUGUGAGACGGAUUGCGCUAGUUUGGAUGUUCAAGAGACGGUGUUUAAAGCUCCGUUAAAAAGAAAAAAGAGCGACAGGGUUAGUGAGGCUAAAAUUAGCAAGAAAAGUGUUGAGGAGGAUGUUGAGGAAACAGGCAGUGAUGGUGAGUCUUCUGACUCCAGUGCAUCUCUUUCACAGAGCGACUUUAUUGGUCGCAGUUAUGAGCUCGAUGAUAUUAAAUUAUUUCUUAGAGCGACUAAAAACAAGAGAGGUGUGCGUGUCCAGGAAUAUUUUCCAGACCUCAAACAGUUUGUCGAUAAAACGAAAAAUUUCAUGGCAGAGAGCUGCUUCACUAAUAAAGAAGUGUACCGCUUAAAGAAAAUUGUGCGGAAUGUUAACAUCGCCCUGGGUAACGAUGAUGGUUAA
rnacentral:lncRNA from 1 species